rnacentral:rRNA from 1 species
UGCGCAGGCGGUUAUAUAAGACAGAUGUGAAAUCCCCGGGCUCAACCUGGGAACUGCAUUUGUGACUGUAUAGCUAGAGUACGGUAGAGGGGGAUGGAAUUCCGCGUGUAGCAGUGAAAUGCGUAGAUAUGCGGAGGAACACCGAUGGCGAAGGCAAUCCCCUGGACCUGUACUGACGCUCAUGCACGAAAGCGUGGGGAGCAAACAGGAUUAGAUACCCUGGUAGUCCACGCCCUAAACGAUGUCAACUGGUUGUUGGGUCUUCACUGACUCAGUAACGAAGCUAACGCGUGAAGUUGACCGCCUGGGGAGUACGGCCGCAAGGUUGAA